AGGAUCAUACUUUUAAGGGUCGUUUCUAUAGUGUGUAUCUUGGCCGUUUCGUCAGCGAUUUGACAGGUUCGCAACCGCGAUGAUGAGACCGGGCCUUUUCCCCUGAGCGUGAAAUCGUUUUUACUGUGCGUGACCCCUAUGUGAAGACAGUGAUGAGCGUCCUGCGGGUAAUUUUACCCGCGGGUGGGGAGGCGGCGUUCUGAGCGGU